AGCUGGAUUUACGGUGAUUUUAUUGUUUUCUGGUUCAUUGGGUAACUUGGCAACCUGGAAUCAGGUGUGCAAAGAACUGAAGGAGACCCAUUCAAGAAUCAACUCUCCCAGGGGCUGCAUGGGGCAGCGGGGAGCGGGGAAUGUGAGGCUCAGCACAGCCUGAGGCCCAAGGACAGAUGCCUAGCAUUCCUCCCACUGCCCAAAGACGCCCUCUGUCCCCAACCCAGGCUACUCCAGCUCCCUCUCACAUCAGGCAAGUGACGAGCUGCAGACUCUGGCCACCCAACACCCAGCCACGGAGCCCAGGGCUCUCCUCCUCCCCUACUCCGCCUCCUCGCUGCCACACGGUUAUUGACAAGAAUAAGCGCUCCUCGCAUAUGUCAAACUGGACGAGCCUCAUUUCAAGAGCUCGCAGCCACACAUGGUUACCAUACAGAAGAGCACAAGACUGGGCUCCACUAGGGUCUUACCAGCGUUCUGGUUUGCUGGUAAAGUAGGAGAAAAAUUAAGCUCUGCUACAGCAGAAGGCAGGGCUUUCCAGAUGGCUCAGUGAUAAAGAAUCUGCCUGCCAAAGCAGGAGACAUGGGUUCAAUCCCUGGGUCAGAAAUAUUCCCUGAAGAAGGAAAUGCAACCCACUCCAGAAUUCUUGCCUGAAAAAUCCCAUGGACGGAGGACCCUGGUGGGCUAUAGUCCAUGGGGUCUCAAAAGAAUCGGACACAACAUAAUAACCAACCAACCACAGUGGAAGACAACACAGCCCUUACACUUCUGCUCGUUAGACAGCCGGGUCGAAACCUGACUCUGCCACUCACUACUUGCCCAACCUGGGUCCCUUUGCUCUUAGGGUGCCAAGUCCAGAGGCCUCGCACUUGGCCCUUCGGCCUGGAGUUCCCGUUUAUAACAGGACUGUGCCAACAUCUCAGCUCCAGGGCUGUGUGCAGAAAAGCUGCCCGGGACAUUCAGUUCAAGAUGGCAGUGGAGAGCCGUGUGCAGAGGCAAUGCUCUCGGCUCCGCAAUCUAGAGCCCGAGCAGCACAGCUGCGCCUGAUACCACACUCCCUCCACCCACUCUGUGCUGGCGAGAUCCCUAUAAAGCAGCCCCCACUACAGUCUCUCUGGGAGAGCGUGAGCUUUAGAGGCCACACUCACACCUCUUCAUUCUUUGAUCAAAGACUAAAACCUUGAGCAGAAGAACUCAGUCUUGUUCUGUUGGCUUGAGCAACACUGAGCAGAAGGACCUUUGUUAGGGACCCACUUGGGUCAGUAACAUAUUCCUUCAUGUAUCAUAGCAAAUGAGACUGAUUGUGGAUGCACAAAUUGUACAGGCUAGUAAAAAAUUUAAAUCUGCAUAGAAAAUUUAGACUCUGCCAUGACACACAUUAUCAUUGGUGAGAACAGGAAGUGCUCAUUUAAAGAAAAACCUUGAGCAACUUUCUACAGGUUGUUUUAAUGUAGUUCUCACAUCUGCUAAAUUUAAAUUAAAAAAAUUAAAUCUCAUCCUACAAGACAGACAGGUUGUGUCCUUUGCAAGCCACCAAAG
ensembl:lncRNA